AACUCAUUUCAUACAGGUCUUUCUGUAAAAACAAAUUGGAAAAAAGCUUUUUUUUAUCUGCUGUUUUGGCUUUUUCAGUACAGUAGACUCACGUUAUCCACACAUUCGCUCAUCUCUGGUUGCCCCCCCCCCCCUAGUUGAGUCUUAGAGGAGAGCGGCAAUGGUCAAUAGAAAAAUUUGGAGAAAUAUUCCAACUAGCAUAAAAGUUAAAAGACAAAAUCAUAGAAUAUGAUCCAAUAGUGGAACAUCAGCAUAACACGACUGCUAACUCAAGCAAUGGACUCAUCAAUAAAAUUUCCUGCAGUUGAAAAAGUAGACAAAACAUCCUAUAACGAUGUUCUUUGAGAAAUCUAAAUGAACAACCUUUGUUGAUUUAUCACCAUUUACAUCUAACUGUGGAAUUUAAUUUACCUUGUUUUAUAAUUAUCUGUUUUAGGUCUCUAAUAAUUUUUUCUCAUUUGUUUCAAUGUCAUGCAUAGGGCAUGCCUGUUCAUACAUGUAUGUACGUAUUGUUUUCCAGAGUGGAAUAAACAUGUACAUAAGAUCAUACAAAACAAGGGCUCACAUUUGAUCAGGGGAAAUUAGACAAGUCAAGGGCAUUACGGACCUCCAUGGGAGCAUGAGAGCCGGAGUAAAGAUUUUCUCUCUGUGUCGGAGAUUCAGAGGAGUUAGAACUGGUACUAAGCCCUCAGAGAGAGAGAGAGAUGUUCCUGAGAGUCCUUUUCUGGAUCGGUUUUCUAGUUCAUCCUGAACUUGGUUCCUGGAAAUAUUCAAAUCUGUAAAUUGUGCCUUCAUAGCAGCAAGUUCCUUC